rnacentral:lncRNA from 1 species
GAUUAGAACACUGAAGACUGAAAUGCAGCAACUUGCCAAAGUUUAGGCAUAAAGUUAAAAGGAAUUGGGUCAAGAACUCAGAAUUUCUUAUUCCUUGUACAGAAAAUGCUCAUCUAUGUCCUACGCCAUAGAUGCAUGUGUGAAUAAACAUUUUCUUUAAAGGAAUAUUCUUCAUAAAUGAAUUUUAUUUUAAAAUUUAUCACAGAAAGUGACUUUUUUCCUUUUGGUAUAAAAUCCUAUGGAUUUUAUUUCAUGUACAGAUUUGUGUAAUCCCUACCAGGAUUGAGCACAGUUCUAUCACUUUGAAAAAAUUUCUCAUGUCAUUCUUUAUGAAUGUAAAUUCAUAAAAAUACAUAUUUGUAAAACAUAAUCUAAAACAUAAUGUAAAUUCAUACAAAUAUAUAUUUGUAAUUUAUUUAGGAAUAUAAAUUCAAACCCUUUUCCCAACCCCUGGCAACCAUUGACCUAUGUCACUAUAGUUUUUUUUUUCUUUUUUUAGGAUGUCUUUUAAAUGUAUUCUUAUAUAGCAUGCAAUUUUUUGAGACUGACUUAUUUCAUAAGCAUAAUGCCUUUAAGAUUCAUCUGAGUUGUUGCAUGUAUCAACAAUUUGUUCCUUUUUAUUGCUACCAGUAUUCCAUUGUUUGGAUCUACCACGGUUUGUUUAUCUACUAACCUAGUAAGGGACUGUUGAAUUGGCUUCAGAGAACGGAUAAUUGAAAAGUUUUCCUGAGAACUAGGCAGAUGGAAAAGUGUGAAUCUGUGACAGGAUGACCAACCAUCCCAGUUUGACUGGGACUAUACUGGUUUUAGUACUGAGAAUUCUGUGUUCUAGGUAACUUCUCAGUCCUGUUGUUCACAUGUGACUCGGGCUGAUCUUAGAUGGAAUUGUAACCAAGUCAAAAUUUGUCUGCUUUCCUGUUUCUACCUAAAGGUACAUCUUUUUUCUUUUCUUUUUCUCCCUAACCAAAUCCAGCUUUUAUCAAAGGACCUGAUAAACCCAUUCACAUUAAGCUGCACAUUUCAGAUGUAAAUUUCCAAGUUAUCUUAUAAGGGACAGUUACAUUUUAAGCUGAGGAAUGAGAACCUGUAACAUAGAGACAUGUAGCAUUUUGCAACAUAUAAAUACAGAUGGGGAGGUUUUUUUUUGAGCUUCUCAUCACCCAUAAAGUAAUUAUUCCCUUCAGAAGGAAAAGAUGCUGAACAAUCCAGUAUCUUGUUGGUGUCUCUUUGCAAAGAAGCAACUAGGGGCAGCUCAUCUUCUACCUGUGAGUUCCCAUGAGUUCAGCCUGUCCUAAUCUAGGUUCAAGUGCUUAAUGUGUACAAAUGUCUGGGCAUGUGAAGCACUCAGAGUGAAGGCAAAGCCUUUAGUAGCCCUUGCAAGAGCCCCACUUCAGCUCCUGCUUUCAUCUGCACAAAUGGGCAAGCUGAAGAACAAUCAACUCUGCAUCUGAAGACUGGGCCAGGAGGUUAGGAAUAGAAGAUCAUCUCCCAGGACAACACUCAGAAGUAGUCUGCUUAGGGAUAGUAACUGAAAUGUUUAAUAUAUAUGCAGGUGGCUUCAUGUUAUAGUGGUUUAGAUUCCCGACUCUGGAACCAAAUGCUUUGGGUUUCAAUCUAAGUCUAGGCUUUCUACCUGUUUCCUUGACACAGUUUCUUCACUGGUAAAAUGGGAAUAUCAAUAAUAUAUAUCUCAUGGGACUUUUGUGAAGCUUAGAUGGAAUGAUGACUGUCAAAUGCAUUGAAGUUAGUAAUGAAUGUUAGCUAUUUUUAUGAUGAAAUUAAGGUGAAGGUUAUGGAGGACCUUGUAAUAGUAUAAGAACAGAUAUCUCCUAUGCCAUUUGAAAGCUUUCUCAGCUUAAGUGGGACCAUAAACACUCAUUAUGUCCUAUGUCUGAUUUCUUUAUGAAUAAAUGAGAAAUUAGUUACAGAAAAUAAAUGCGGUGUUUAUAUAUAAGGCAGAUCUAGAUAGUCACAAUAGUCAGAGUUCAAGAGGAAACUGAUGGAACCAGCCUCUUUUGUUCCUUUUACCAAGAAAGAAAAACUUUCUCAGAAGCUUCCCCAGUUGAACACUGGAUUGCAUGGCCACCUCUAGCAGAAAGAGAGGUUGGGAGGGUAAAGCAUUCCCUGGCUAAGGCCAAUUAUUGUCCAUUGCAUAAUGCUAGAAGAAAAUGAAUAACUGGGUAGGCAAGUGACAGAGUUCACUCACACAUUAGAGUCCUUUUUAUUUUUAUUUUGUUACAUUAGCUAGCCCCAAUGAAUUUCUCCUUCUUGUAAUCAUAAAAACACAUGAUGCUUUUCAGAUGCUCUGAUACUGUCAGUUGCUUGGACUCUGGAACUCUUUCGUGGUCCAUGAAUUGGGCUAGGAAAAAGGCUCUUCUGCUCCUGCCUUUCAGAAGAAGAUGGAACCAAGGGGGCUGCAGGAACAGAAAUUCAUUUCAAAGUGCAGCCAGUGCCAACAGGGGAGAGUGGGCAGAGAAAUCAAAUGAAAAUGCCAAAACGCUGACUACACGGCCAGUUUGCAUCAUGUGAACCACUUUGGAGCCUGAGGACAGAAACCAAAAAUAUGCUUCUGUUCAGAGGCGGCUAACAGCACUAGUGUUAUUAUUGUUAUCAUCAUCAUCACCACCAUCAUUCGUCCAUAAAUUUAAAACUGAUGUGUGAUGAGCUGCCGUGUAUCAAGGAACUGAUGUCUUCAGCCAACAAGCAGCUAGAAUCUGAGGGGUUGAAACAGCCACAUGAGUGAGCUUGGAAGUUGGAACUUAUUGCCUGAGUCAAGCCUUGAGAUGACUACAGCCUUGGCAGACAUCAAGUGCCUGAGCCAGAGGACCCAGCUAAGCCACUCUCAGAUUUCUGACCUACAGAAUUCGUGUGAUAAUAUUAAUACAUGUUUAUUGUUUUAAGUUGCUGAAUUUGGGGGUGGGUUGUCACACAGUCAUAGAAAACUGAUACAGUUGGAAAUAAUUUUGAAAGGUGAAAGGCAUAGUAUGAAAUCUGAUUCUGUGGUAUGGAGGGGUUUCAAAGACUGGCAGAACAAUUUGGACAUGGUACAGAAGCCAUUGAAAGCUCUUUCUCUCAUAGCUUUAUGGAGAUAUAAUUCACAUACAAUAUAAUUGUCAUUUAAAAUGUACAACUCACUAGUUUUUAGUAAGUUAGCAGAGUUGUGAAAUCAUCACCACAAGCUAUUUUCAUACACUUUGAUCUGCCCCCAAACAAAGCCCAUACCAAUUAGCAGUCAUACCCCAUUUUGUCCCAAGCCCUAGACAACUUCUCUACUUUUUGUGUCCAACAAAUUUUCCUAUUCUGGACAUUUCAGGCAGAGUAAUAAAAUACAUGGCUUUUUGUGUCUGCUUCUUUUACUUAGCAUAAUACUUUAAGGUUUAUUGGUGUUGUAGCAUGUGUCAGUAUAUUUGUUGCUUUUUAUCGCCAAAUAAUAUCCCAUUUUACUAAGAGACCACACUUUGUUUAUUCGUUGGUCACUUCAUGGAUGUUUGUGUUGUUUCCAAAUUUUGGCUAUUAGAAAUUAUGCUGC